AUUUUGUAUGCCCAGCCUGUGCAACUGAGGAUACAGUGCUUUUCCAGUGCCCUUCCUGUGACUUCUGCCGCUGCCGGGCCUGCUGGCAACGUCAACUCCAGGCCUCUAGACUGUGUCCAGCUUGUGGUGCUGUUAACAGGAAGCAGAGCAUUGCACAGGUCAUCUGGCCGAAGCCCCAGUGAACACAGAUGAUGGCCUUUGCUGGCCCAGAUGCGGCUAAAUCCACUGUAGCUCUCAUGCUCAGCUGUCCAAUGGAAUCUACUUGUGAAGUCUUAAAACUUCAAAUAUAUUGGCAUCGCACACAUAUUACUGAAGGUAUAGACUGUUCAAUAAAAUUAACAGUUGUCAGG
rnacentral:lncRNA from 1 species